UACGUAGGAGGCGAGCGUUGUCCGGAGUUACUGGGCGUAAAGGGUGCGCAGGCGGCGGUUCGCGUGGAUAGAUGAAAUCUCCUGGCUUACCUGGGAGGAUGGUAUCCAGACGGGAUCGCUUGAGGGUCGGAGAGGGGCGUGGAAUUCCGGGUGGAGCGGUGAAAUGCGUAGAGAUCCGGAGGAACACCGACGGCGUAGGCAGCGCCCCGGACGACACCUGACGCUGAGGCACGAAAGCUGGGGGAGCGAACAGG
rnacentral:rRNA from 1 species